rnacentral:lncRNA from 1 species
AUUCCCAGGGAACCCCCCAAAGCGUUAUCCCAACUUUUAUCCCUCGGGAAUAAAAUCCUCUCCUUCCCUUCCUCUCCCAUCCGUGGAUUUGGGGCCUUUUCCGACGGGUUUUCCGGAGGCUCCGGAAGGAAUUCCCGCUUGGAAAAGCUUCCAAGGAUCUCUGGGAUCCUCCACUCCCGAAAUUCCCGGGGUGGGAAUUCUCCUCUGCCGGAAUUCCCCCCAAAAAAUGGGAUUUGAGGUUGAUUUUUUUUUUUAUUUUUCCCUCUUUUAUUUUCCCCUGUUUGAUUUUUCCCUGUUUGAUUUUUCCUUCUUUUAUUUUUCCCUGUUUGAUUUUUCCCAGUUUUAUUUUUCCUUCUUUUAUUUUUCCCUCUUUUAUUCUUCCUUCUUUUAUUCUUCCUUCUUUUAUUUUUUCCUCUUUUAUUUUUCCUUCUUUUAUUUUUCUUUCUUUUGUUUUUCCUUCUUUUAUUCUUCCUUCUUUUAUUUUUUUCUCUUUUAUUUUUCUGUUUUAUUUUUCCUCGUUUGAUUUUUCCUUCUUUUAUUUUUCCCUCUUUUAUUUUUCCUUUUAUUUUUCCCUCUUUGAUUUUUCCUUCUUUUAUUUUUCCUUCUUUUAUUUUUCCCUCUUUGAUUUUUCCUUUUUAUUUUUCCCUGUUUGAUUUUUCUGUUUUCUUUUUUCCUCUUUUUUUCCUGUUUUAUUUUUCCUUCUUUUAUUUUUCCCUCUUUGAUUUUUCCUUCUUUUAUUUUUCCCUGUUUUCUUUUUCCUUAUUUGAUUUUUCCCAGUUUUAUUUUUCCUUCUUUUAUUUUUUCCUCUUUGAUUUUUCCCAGUUUUCUCUUUCCCUCUUUUAUUUUUCCUUGAUUUAUUUUUCCCAGUUUUCUUUUCCCUCUUUGAUUUUUCCCUGUUUUAUUUUUCCCUCUCUUAUUUUUCCCUCUUUUAUUUUUCCUUCUUUUCUUUUUCCUCUUUUAUUUUUCCCUGUUUUAUUCUUCCUUCUUUUUCCCUCUUUUCUUUUUCCUUCUUUUAUUUUUCCCAGUUUUCUUUUUCCCUCUUUGAUUUUUCCCUCUUUUAUUUUUCCCUCUUCUAUUUUCCCUCUUUUAUUUUUCCCUCUUUUAUUUUUUCCUCUUUUAUUUUUCCCUCUUUUCUUUUUCCUAUUUUAUUUUUCCUUCUUUUCUUUUUCCUUCUUUUAUUUUUCCUUCUUUUAUUUUUCCCUCUUUUAUUUUUCUCUCUUUUAUUUUUC